UGGGGAAUUUUGGACAAUGGGCGAAAGCCUGAUCCAGCAAUGCCGCGUGUGUGAAGAAGGCCUUCGGGUUGUAAAGCACUUUGUCCGGAAGAAAUCUCUGGGUUAAUACCUCGGGGGGAUGACGGUACCGGAAGAAUAAGCACCGGCUAACUACGUGCCAGCAGCCGCGGUAAUACGUAGGGUGCAAGCGUUAAUCGGAAUUACUGGGCGUAAAGCGUGCGCAGGCGGUUUUGUAAGACGGAUGUGAAAUCCCCCGGGGCUUAACCUGGGAACUGCAUUCGUGACUGCAAGGCUAGAGUAUGGCAGAGGGGGGUUAGAAUUCCACGUGUAGCAGUGAAAUGCGUAGAGAUGUGGAGGAAUACCGAUGGCGAAGGCAGCCCCCUGGGCCAAUACUGACGCUCAUGCACGAAAGCGUGGGGAGCAAACAGGAUUAGAUACCCUGGUAGUCCACGCCCUAAACGAUGUCAACUAGUUGUUGGGGAUUCAUUUCCUUAGUAACGUAGCUAACGCGUGAAGUUGACCGCCUGGGGAGUACGGUCGCAAGAUUAAAACUCAAA
rnacentral:rRNA from 1 species